UACACGAGUGAGAAUGCCGGAAUGAGUAGCGAGAAUUAUGUGAGAAUCAUAAUGGCCGAAAAUCUAAGGUUUCUUGGGGAAGGUUCGUCCGCCCAAGGUAAGCCGGGAGCUAAGGCGAGGCCGAGAGGCGUAGUCGAUGCACAUACGGUAAAGAUUCCGUAGCCACCGAAGUCGUUAAAUACAGGGACACAGGAACAUAGCCUAACCCCACCGUUGGUUGAGUGGGGCGUAAGGGAGCGAAAAUUAGUAGCGAAGUAGGUGAUUGUACACUGGCGAGAAAAGCUGUAUGAAUUGAUAAGGUGCCCGUACCGCAAACCGACACAGGUAGAUGAGGAGAGAAUCCUAAGACCAGCGGGAGAAGUGUUGUUAAGGAACUCGGCAAAAUGACCCCGUAACUUCGGGAUAAGGGGAGCCUACGCGAGUAGGCCGCAGAGAAUAGUCUCAAGCGACUGUUUAGCAAAAACACAGGUCUAUGCUAAAUCGAAAGAUGAUGUAUAUGGGCUGACGCCUGCCCGGUGCUGGAAGGUUAAGGGGAAGUGUUAGAGCAAUCGAAGCACUGAACUUAAGCCCCAGUAAACGGCGGCCGUAACUAUAACGGUCCUAAGGUAGCGAAAUUCCUUGUCAGGUAAGUUCUGACCCGCACGAAUGGCGUAACGACUUGAGAGCUGUCUCAACAACAUACCCGGCGAAAUUGAAGUACUGGUAAAGAUGCCAGUUACCCGUGAUAAGACGGAAAGACCCCAUGGAGCUUUACUGUAACUUGAUAUUGAAUUUUUGUAUUACAUGUACAGGAUAGGUGGGAGACAGAGAACUAAUGCCGCCAGGUGUUAGGGAGUCGAUGUUGGGAUACCACUCUUGUAAUAUGAAGGUUCUAACCUGCACCCGUGAAUCCGGGUGGGGGACACUGUCAGGUGGACAGUUUGACUGGGGCGGUCGCCUCCUAAAAGGUAACGGAGGCGUUCAAAGGUUGGUUCAGCACGGACGGAAAUCGUGCAACGAGUGCAAACGCAUAAACCAGCCUAACUGCGAGACCGACAAGUCGAGCAGUAACGAAAGUUGGAGUUAGUGAUCCGGCGGUAUGAGAGUGGAAUUGCCGUCGCUCAACGGAUAAAAGCUACCCUGGGGAUAACAGGCUGAUCUCCCCCAAGAGUCCACAUCGACGGGGAGGUUUGGCACCUCGAUGUCGGCUCAUCGCAUCCUGGGGCUG
rnacentral:rRNA from 1 species